ACGGGUGAGUAACACGUAGGCAACCUACCCUUUAGAUGGGGAUACCUCGCGGAAACGCGGGUUAAUACCGAAUAGAUCGUCUGCUUGCAUGAGCGGACGAAGAAAGGCGGCGAAAGCUGUCGCUAAAGGAAGCGCCUGCGGCGCAUUAGCUAGUUGGAGAGGUAACGGCUCCCCAAGGCGACGAUGCGUAGCCGACCUGAGAGGGUGAACGGCCACACUGGGACUGAGACACGGCCCAGACUCCUACGGGAGGCAGCAGUAGGGAAUCUUCCGCAAUGGGCGCAAGCCUGACGGAGCAACGCCGCGUGAGUGAAGAAGGUUUUCGGAUCGUAAAGCUCUGUUGCCAGGGAAGACAAAGGCCAAGAGGAACUGCUUGGCCGAUCGACGGUACCUGAGAAGAAAGCCCCGGCUAACUACGUGCCAGCAGCCGCGGUAAUACGUAGGGGGCAAGCGUUGUCCGGAAUAAUUGGGCGUAAAGGGCGCGCAGGCGGCAAAGCAAGUCCGAUGUAUAAGGCUGGAGCUCAACUCCAGAUCGCAUGGGAAACGGCUAAGCUCGAGUGCAGCAGAGGAGAGUGG
rnacentral:rRNA from 1 species